rnacentral:rRNA from 1 species
GACGAACGCUGGCGGCGUGCCUACUACAUGCAAGUCGAGCGAAGCGGCGGAUGGGUGAGUAACGCGUGGGUCACCUGCCCUUAAGUCUGGGAUCCCAUUUGGAAACAGAUGCUAAUACCGGAUACUAAAGGAUGGACCUGCGAUGCAUUAGCUAGUUGGUAAUGUAACGGCUGACCAAGGCGAUGAUGCAUAGCCUAGUUUAGUGAAUGGUUGUCCACAUUGGGCCUGAGACACGACCCAAUCUCCUACGGGAGGCAGAAGUAGGGAAUCUUCCACAAUGGGCGAAAGUCUGAUGAAGCAACGCCGCGUGAGUGAAGAAGGUUUUCUGAUCGUAAAGCUCUGUUGUUGGUGAAGCGGUAAUCAACCAGAAAGUCACGGCUAGCUACGUGCCAGCAGCCGCGGUAAUUC